rnacentral:lncRNA from 1 species
AGCAGGUUUGCAGAAGAAAAAAUUGCAGAGGUUCAUUUACCUGGAAACUCUGCAGGCCAGAACAGAGACACUCAAAAGGAGGUGUUUUGCAGCUGAAGGAGCAGACCAUCUCUAUUUGAUGUCAACUGCUUCUCUAUCAAGUUGAUACGCACCCUGCUUCAUGUGGCAUGGAAAGGUUUUAAAGACUGCUCCAGUGCAAUUUUAGAUGUGGUAUUGUUUGGCCAGGAUAAUACUUAUUCCUUUUCCAUAUUAGUCAGACAUAUUCUUACAAAUGACCUCUCAGGUCUUCUGAAAAGCAUGUAAGAGUUUCACAAUGACCAUUUAUGACACUUCCAGGGGGCUCAGGAUUU